UACGGGGGGGGUAAGCGUUGUUCGGAAUUACUGGGCGUAAAGGGCUCGUAGGCGGCCAACUAAGUCAGACGUGAAAUCCCUCAGCUUAACUGGGGAACUGCGGUGGGUACGGGCAGACUAGAGUGAUGUAGGGGAGACUGGAAUUCCUGGUGUAGCGGUGAAAUGCGCAGAUAUCAGGAGGAACACCGGUGGCGAAGGCGGUUCUCUGGGCAUGUCCUGACGCUGAGGAGCGAAAGUGUGGGGAGCGAACAGG
rnacentral:rRNA from 1 species